GCUGGAUCCCCUCCUUUCUAAGGAUUCCAGGGAUUGGACUUUAAGUUCUCCCAGGAUCUGCAGACAAAGCUCCGCAAGUCAGCGGAGCAUCAAUAAUGCGGCGGCCGCGCCGUCUCCGUUUCUCUUCCUUGUCGAACGCGCGGGCUUUUGCUUGGGCGUUCAAUGCGAACCCUGCGGGCGCUUGGCGUCCGCCUGUCCGCGUCUUACGCCGCGCUCGCGGUGUUUGGGCCGGUAGCUCAGGUGGUUAGAGCGCACGCCUGAUAAGCGUGAGGUCGGAGGUUCAAGUCCUCCUCGGCCCACCAGACGCUGGUCAAUGCAAGGGUAAGACGGAUCGGGGCCUUAGCUCAGUUGGGAGAGCGCUAGCUUUGCAAGCUUGAGGUCGUCGGUUCGAUCCCGACAGGCUCCACCAGGUCUGAAUAGGUCGUUCGCAACAAGGAAACGCCGGUUUCCGAUUUCGCGUCAGCGAGAUUGGGAUGUUUGUACAUCGUGAGGGAGGAUCAGUCCGCCGCCCGGCCGUUCGGCCGGCGCGUGGUCUUAGCCGACAGCGCCGCGUCACAGCGCGGCGAUUUCAGGGCUGAUCUGCAAGAAACCAACAUGUCUGAUCAUGAGAUCCGUGCACGGGUGGUGCGUUCACCACCGCGCAUGGGUUUCACUGAGUGAUCAAGCGUCAAAAGGGCAUCCGGGGGAUGUCUUGGCGGUAAGAGGCGAUGAAGGACGUGGCACUCUGCGAUAAGCGCCGGGGAGGCGAGAGCACCCUUUGAUCCGGCGAUUUCCGAAUGGGGAAACCCGGAAGC
rnacentral:misc_RNA from 1 species